rnacentral:rRNA from 1 species
AUUGAACGCUGGCGGUAGGCCUAACACAUGCAAGUCGAACGGCAGCACAAAGGAGCUUGCUCCUUGGGUGGCGAGUGGCGGACGGGUGAGGAAUACAUCGGAAUCUACUCUGUCGUGGGGGAUAACGUAGGGAAACUUACGCUAAUACCGCAUACGACCUACGGGUGAAAGCAGGGGAUCUUCGGACCUUGCGCGAUUGAAUGAGCCGAUGUCGGAUUAGCUAGUUGGCGGGGUAAAGGCCCACCAAGGCGACGAUCCGUAGCUGGUCUGAGAGGAGGAUGAGCCACACUGGAACUGAGACACGGUCCAGACUCCUACGGGAGGCAGCAGUGGGGAAUAUUGGACAAUGGGCGCAAGCCUGAUCCAGCCAUACCGCGUGGGUGAUGAAGGCCUUCGGGUUGUAAAGCCCUUUUGUUGGGAAAGAAAUCCAUCUGGUUAAUACCCGGGUGGGAUGACGGUACCCAAAGAAUAAGCACCGGCUAACUUCGUGCCAGCCGCCGCCGUAACAC